rfam:Triticum aestivum genome assembly, contig: Triticum_aestivum_CS42_TGACv1_scaffold_577762_7BL
CUCAUACUUCCUCCGUCCGAAAAUACUUGUCAUUAAAAUGGAUAAAAAGUGAUGUCUAUAGAACUAAAAUACAUCUAGAUACAUUCCUUCUUAUUCAUUUUGAUGACAAAUAUUUUCGGACGGAUGGAGUACAAG